rnacentral:tRNA from 1 species
GGAGAGGUAGCUCAGAGGUUUUGAGCACUGGCUGCUCUUCCAGAGAAUCAGGGUUCAAUUUCCAGUACCUUUCCA